rnacentral:rRNA from 1 species
GACGAACGCUGGCGGCGUGCCUAAUACAUGCAAGUUGAGCGCUGAAGGUUGGUCCUUGUACCAACUGGAUGAGCAGCGAACGGGUGAGUAACGCGUGGGGAAUCUGCCUUUGAGCGGGGGACAACUUUUGGAAACGAAUGCUAAUACCGCAUAAUAUCUUUAAACACAAGUUUUAAGUUUGAAAGAUGCAAUUGCAUCACUCAAAGAUGAUCCCGCGUUGUAUUAGCUAGUUGGUGAGGUAAAGGCUCACCAAGGCGAUGAUACAUAGCCGACCUGAGAGGGUGAUCGGCCACAUUGGGACUGAGACACGGCCCAAACUCCUACGGGAGGCAGCAGUAGGGAAUCUUCGGCAAUGGACGAAAGUCUGACCGAGCAACGCCGCGGGAGUGAAGAAGGGUUUCGGAUCGUAAAACUCUGUUGGUAGAGAAGAACGUUGGUGAGAGUGGAAAGCGCAUCAAGUGACGGUAACUACCCAGAAAGGGACGGCUAACUACGUG